rnacentral:rRNA from 1 species
UACGUGAGGGUUCAAGCGUUUAUCCGGAAUCACUGGGCGUAAAGCGUGCGUAGGUGGCGUGUUAAGUGCAAUGCGAAAUCCUGUGGCUCAACCAUAUGGACUGUAUUGCAUACUGGCAUGCUAGAGGACGGCAGAGGCAAGUGGAAUUAACCGGUGUAGCAGUGAAAUGCGUAGAGAUCGGUAGGAACACCAAUGGCGAAGGCAGCUUGCUGGGCCGACCCUGACGCGUAAGGCACGGAAAGCGUGGGGAGCGAACAG